GGUCAAGCUACAAAGGGCGCAUGGUGAAUGCCUUGGCAUCAGGAGCCGAUGAAGGACGUGAUAAGCUGCGAUAAGCUUCGGGUAGGCGCACAUAGCCAGAGAUCCGGAGAUUUCCGAAUGGGGAAACCCGCAUGAGAAACCUCAUGCAUCGUAAAGUGAAUACAUAGCUUUAUGAAGGAACACCUAGGGAACUGAAACAUCUAAGUACCUAGAGGAAGAGAAAGAAAAAUCGAUUUUCUUAGUAGCGGCGAGCGAAAAGGAAAGAGCCCAAACCAGAGAUUUAUCUCUGGGGUUGCGGACAGAACAUAACGUGAAAUUAUGAUUAACCGAACACAACUGGAAAGUUGGACCGUAGGAGGUAAUAGUCCUGUAAGUAAAA
rnacentral:ncRNA from 1 species